AGGAUCUCCGGAUGGAAAUUUCAAGUACAUUACAUAUGUCUGUGGGAGAAAAGGUAAUAGAUGUUGCCUAUGAUAUGUCAGUAUCCUGUUUUCUCCUGACUCAGGCUUGAUCUUAUAUACAGGAUCUCCGGAUGGAAAUUUCAAGUACAUUACAUAUGUCUGUGGGAGAAAAGGUAUGUAUCUAUACAGAAGGCUACUGUAACACUUGCU